rfam:Oryzias latipes DNA, contig19938 in scaffold25, strain: Hd-rR.
UUUGAAAGCAUUGCACCCAGUGUCUGACUUGUCAGACAUUGUACCUGGAGCUUGGUAUUUGUUGUUUUGUAUUAAA